AGAAGUGUAAGAAGUCAAUUAGCAUAUGUAAGUCCCUGGCCCACAGACAAGUUCUUCUCAGAACUGUCCCGUGUGAGUCCUCCCGGAUGCCCGCUGCCUAAGCGAGUCAUGUGGGCAAGCCUGGAGCCAAUGGAGCAGGGAGGCCUAGCGCAUUGUCACGUGUCACUGAGGACCUUGGUGGUUUGUGAUGCUGUGAGCAUGUCGAUGAUACGUCACACUCCCUUCCUUCCUCUUCACUGCAGUGGAGGCAUCUCCUGCUCCUGCUCCUGGACAGUGACGCCAGGUCAAGCUGCCAGCUUUGUGACCUCAGACAAGCCAGUCAACCUCUCUGAGCUUCGGUGACCAAACCGCGAGAGGGCUGGAGAAAGAGCAAGGCUGGUCUUCCAGGAUCCGUGGCUAAAAUCAUCCCACACAUCAGGCGGCAGGAGCUCAGCCCCACGGCCACCUCGGCUGCCACCGCACUGAUGCCGCCUCUGCCCUGGGGACAGGCCGGCAGCUGUGGGCGGGCUCUGCAGCCCCGGACAUCUUCACAGGAACCUGGGCAUGUCUGCCUCCCCAGGACCCACCCCACCCACCCCCGGAGCCCGCGGUCCUUACCUCUGAAUCGAGGGCUCGCACGGUCGUGGCUCAUUGAUGGGGCUGCAUCCCAGCUGUGAAUCCUGGCUUCCCCAGAGAGAAUUCCCUCAGCAUGAAGAUUUCCUCAGAUAGGGAAAUCUUAGUCCGAAGACAAAGUAGCUACAGAUGUGACAGCAUCCACGACGCGGAGCAUGAGCACCAAAAUCGAAGGGGGCUUCAAACACUAGCCUUCACCUAAGCCGAGGGCUUGAUUUCUCUGCCCAAGGCCCAUUUGGCAUCAGUCUUUGUGGCGGUGGUAACACGGUGUCCGUGACAAGACUGUGGCAGGACUGGGGACAGACAACUGGGAGGUGGACGGCCUCUGCCGACAAGUGCGGGCUGGGGCUGGGUCCACACAGGACUAACGCACCAGCUCCCAGGCGUCUGCAGCGUCUAGUGGCUCCUGCUUUGAACCCCGAUCAAAGUUCUAGUGGUGCAGUUUCUCCAACAGCCUAUGAGGCCAGUGUGUGCCACCCAAGGGAAAUAAUAAUAAAAAUGAUCAUCGUUCUAAUUUG